UUUCACAAGGAUAAAUCUUUGUUGAAUAUUAACUAUGAUAGUAUUUUUUUUUUGAGCAAAACUAUGAUAGUAUUUAUACUCGCAUAUUCAUGCAUAAAAUAAUUAUAUACAUGUUCAACAAUUUUUAUUUGCUUUACGUGUACAAUCAAUUAUCAUUCAUAUAACUACAUAAAAAUAAGGGCAAUUGUCAAUAAUAGCACCUUUUGAAGUUUAUGUCUCAAAAAUGGCACUAUAAAAAGAAAGUCAUAAAAAUGACAUUCAUUAAAGGGUAAA
rnacentral:lncRNA from 1 species